ensembl:lncRNA
GAUUUUCUCAGUACAAAAACAAAUAACAUUAUUAACACGCCUUAAAGAUGUAAAGUGUCUUGAGGAAGCGGUAGUCAGAAUAAAGCCCAGCUGCUGCCCGUGUCGUGCUGCUCUGUCAGAUUCACAAGCUCAGUCUCUCCAGCCUCGCCUCCGUCACCCCAUCCCACUGGCAAUGGCCUUUCUGCGCUGCAAACAUGCCAAUACCAGAAAUUGCACCAACCAGAAUGCCGGAGGACCUGCAACCAGAUGGAAUGACAAUAACAUGAGAAACAACUGGCUCUGAGUGGAGGUUGCAUUUGGCUGAUUGGAGCUGCCCAAGUCAGAGAUGAAGCCUCCUUCCACAGUCUACAGAGGCAGCUGUCCAGCCAUGGACUACACUUGCCAGCCUUUCUUGCAACUCGAUAGGGCCAUGUGAAUAUUUCUCCCUGAGAACAAUUGAGAUGUAUUCUCUCAAGACCAAGAUUAAGAAUCUUUCUCCAUUUGUUUUUUCCCUAUGCUCCUCCUGCGUGUAAAGGGUGAAAACCCUGGGAAGAGGAGGCCACAGAUAAAAGGAGGCUGAGUUCCUGAGUCACCAUGUGGAAGCUGCCGCCAGUCAGGAUUGUUAAAUGACUGGGGUCACAGUCGCAACAGCUGCAUUACUCUAAUAUCCUCUCUCUGUGAAUUCUAAUGGGAUUCCUGACAUACUGGGAAGUGGGGCUGGAUGCUUCUGAAAGCUCCUUCUGAUACACAUUCUCUGGCACAUUUCUUCUGAAAUUUAUAAACUAUUGUACUUGAAAGUUAUGUUGUCAAAUAGGAUCAUUUAAUUAUCCUGUAGUAAAUAUUGCAGAGCUUAAAACCACUGCGUCAGAAGAACUGGUCUCUAGCUCUGGCUCUUCUACAAGCCUGUUAUAGAGUCUGGAAAAUAUAACUUUACUUCUCUGAGCCUCAGUUUCAUCAACUGUAAAAUACAAAUAAAAUGCAGUGUGAACGAGGAGAGACAAUAUGACCUCUAAAUUCCUUUCAAAUAAAAUCUCUUCGAGAAAUGUACAGCAACAGCUCUUUACAGGCAGAGAGAAGUGGGAGCACAGAACUUUAGUGCAUUAAUGAAUAUUGCACUAAACUUAACCUAUAAUAAACUCUUUAAUCACAGAGUAUCUUUUAUUAUUGGACUUAAAAAAUUGGAGAUGAGUCAUUAGGCUCUUCGCUUUUGACUCUAGAUAUAGUCAAAUUGUCUUGACCAACUCAGAUACUCCAUUCAGUUGAGGCAG